GAAAACACACGAGAGAAAGAGCCCGCGGCCAAGCACCUCACGGCCCCACCAUCGGCCGUGACAGACCCUACGGCCAAGCGUCUCACGGCCACAUCCUCGCCAUGACCGAGCCUUGUGACCCGCUCCUGGCCGAGUCCCUGACCGAGACUCCGGCGCCGUCCUUACUCUAGCUCCAUCGAGCUCGAUGCCGCUGCUGAUCUCCCAGCCCCAUGAGCUGCUGCACCGACCACCACAACGGCCUGUUGACUUACCUGCACCGUGAUGACAAAGCUCCCGACUCCACCGCAACACUCACCUGCGUCGUUGGUGUCCACUGCCAUGAGCCAAGCCCUCGCCUCACCGCGCCUGCUCCUAGCGAGUUGCUGUCCUUGCCGUCGAUCCCUGCUGCACCUACACUGUGACAUCGAGCUGCAGUCACACCUAUCCCUGCGCCGAGCAGCACCUAUAAUUCCUUUGUUUUGCAGGUUGUCGACCAUCGAUUGAGAAUUCUCCUCACCGUUAACUGCCAAGACGACGGGCUGUCCCCUCCCCCCUCACCGGUCAUCAUCACCGAGAGCACCCACCAUCGUCCACCAGUCGCCAUGAGCCCUAGCCGUCGGUCUUCAAAUUAGGCUGCUUGGGGCUGUGAGAUGUUGCACACCCUUCGCUCUUCUUCACCAACUCAUCUUCCUUACGACAGAGAAAAGGUUCGAAUAGUUUCGAGUGGAAGUCCUGCUUUGUGGAUCAUGGGUUAACUGGUCACCGGCCCGCCCAUCCCACUGUUCAAGCGACUCGAAGAAAGUAUGUUUCUGGUGAGACUUGGAUUCUUUUAUGCAGUGUUGAAGCAGCAGCAUUCGUUUGCAUAGAGGACCAGUUCAGAGAUGAGUUUGAUUGUGGCCUUCAGCUUGCAGAGUCGUGGAGUUGUUGCUAAUCGGUUCUGAACGUGUGCACAUUGGCCUGAUUCAAAUAUAAAAACCACGAGAGAUCGACAGAAGCUGAAGACAAAAACCAAAGGAAAUGUUCAGGAUGAUGUUGGUGAUCGGGCUACUAAAUGGAGUGUGCAAGGAGAUGUAGAUUGUUUCGCUGCCAUUGUCGGCACUCUUAAUAGGCAAGCUUUGAAAUGUGUCUGAUUUGUGACGAAUUCUUCGGAGUCUGAAGCAUUAUCUGCACUGGUUUCAGUACUCUGAACGUGACGCUUUUGCAGAAUUGAAACGAUUUCUUUGUGGACGCUAUUAAUUCAGCAGUUCUGUCUGCUCUCUUGCACGUGAAUGGAACCUCAGAAGACUCUAUCAUUGAAUCGGCACGGUAUUGCUUGGAGUUGUAGCAGUUCAUCCUCGACCACGACAAGUAAAAAAGCAUUCGUUCAUUGGUAUUCGGUGGAAAUUCUUUUACCUUGCGAUGUUUUCAUAUAUCGGGUUGCACAUCCACCAUGAAAUAGAGCCCCAGAAAGGAGCGGCGAAGCGGCUCAGAAUGACAGAUUGGGCUACGCCCAGUUUGUCUAUCCGCGCCGCCACUUCUCUCCACAGACAUGCCUGAGGUAUAAGUCUUCCUCAUCAUUUGUGUGACGAGUUCCCCUUUGUGACUUCAAUGUUGUCCCACAGUUAGAUAUUGCAAGACCGCCAGACCGUGCGCGGUUAUCAUCGGAUUCCUUCUGUAGGUAAUUUAUGAAGAAUAUGGUGAGUUCCAUGCGCGCAGCGCAUGCUGGCAAAUAAUAUGUUUCCUAAUUGGGUCUUUUCAGCGCGAAAUCGCGCUUUCUUUUCUUGUUUGAUGUCAGUUGUCACGAGUAUUUACCACUUCUUAUGCACAAUAACAAUAAAUGCAUACUGAGUUGGUUUGGUUUUCUCUUC